rnacentral:tRNA from 1 species
GGCUCUUUAGUUUAACGGUAGAAUGGCUCAUUCGUAAUGAGUAGGUGUGGGUUCGAUUCCUGCAAGGGCCU